GUUGUAUGGUUAAGUGACUAAGCGUACACGGUGGAUGCCUUGGCAGUCAGAGGCGAUGAAAGACGUAGUAACUUGCGAUAAGCCCAGAUUAGGUAGUAACAACCAUUUGAGUCUGGGAUUUCUGAAUGGGGAAACCCACGUGCAUAAGCACGUAUCCU
rnacentral:rRNA from 1 species